rnacentral:rRNA from 1 species
ACAGCAGCCGCCACGGGAAUACGGAGGGUGCAAGCGUUAAUCGGAAUUACUGGGCGUAAAGCGCACGCAGGCGGUCUGACAAGUCAGAUGUGAAAUCCCCGGGCUUAACCUGGGAACUGCAUUUGAAACUGUCAGGCUGGAGUCUUGUAGAGGGGGGUGGAAUUCCAGGUGUAGCGGUGAAAUGCGUAGAGAUCUGGAGGAAUACCGGUGGCGAAGGCGGCCCCCUGGACAAAGACUGACGCUCAGGUGCGAAAGCGUGGGGAGCAAACAGGAUUAGAUACCCCUGUAGUCCCUGUCUCUUAUAC